AAUGGGCGAAAGCCUGAUCCAGCAAUGCCGCGUGCAGGAUGAAGGCCUUCGGGUUGUAAACUGCUUUUGUACAGAACGAAACAGUCUCUCCUAAUAUGGGGGGCGAAUGACGGUACUGUAAGAAUAAGCACCGGCUAACUACGUGCCAGCAGCCGCGGUAAUACGUAGGGUGCAAGCGUUAAUCGGAAUUACUGGGCGUAAAGCGUGCGCAGGCGGUUUUGUAAGACAGAUGUGAAAUCCCCGGGCUCAACCUGGGACCUGCAUUUGUGACUGCAAGGCUAGAGUACGGCAGAGGGGGAUGGAAUUCCGCGUGUAGCAGUGAAAUGCGUAGAUAUGCGGAGGAACACCGAUGGCGAAGGCAAUCCCCUGGGCCUGUACUGACGCUCAUGCACGAAAGCGUGGGGAGCAAA
rnacentral:rRNA from 1 species